GCGGGUGUAGUUCAAUGGUAGAACGCCAGCUUCCCAAGCUGGACACGAGGGUUCGAUUCCCUUCACCCGCU
rnacentral:tRNA from 4 species